AAAAGACCUCUGAGAUCCCCAAAUCCAACCCCAACCCACUGCCCAAUGUCCACUGACCACUUCCCUCAAUGCCACAUCUCCAUGGUUCUGGAACACCUCCAGGGAUGGUGACCCCACCACCUCCCUGGGCAGCCUAUGCCAGUGCAUCACCACUCUUUUGGAGAAGAAGUGUUUCCUAGCAUCCAAUCUGAACCUCCCCUGGUGCAGCUUAAGGCCUAAAUCAUGGCUGGGGCUCCUAGUCAGGCACCAGAGGAGAACAUGUGAGAAUUUCCCAAUUCACAUCAUCCCAGCACUUCUUUUCCCAAACAAACUGCCCAGUUCUUCCCCCACAUGAAAAGAGUCUCUUUCUCUUCCUGGCUCUUAGGGUGCUGAGGAUCAGGUCUUCUGCUUUUGGGCCCUACCGCCAUUGGAAAUUCAGAUUUAUGCGAAGCCAGACAAGAAAUAGCUGAGUUUGCUCAUUUUUGAGGAGGUAUCCAGGAAAACGCUUUUAUCAGCUCCAUUCAUCCCCAGACAUUGUGUAUUCUCUCAGCCAAGGUCACAAGCCAACCCUUCCUCUCUCUGCAGACCUUUGAGGGAGAGAUGAGCUCUUCUGCAUGUCCAGAUGCCUGCUGUUGCUUGGGAUGAUGCAUGUGAGCUUGUGCGGUCUCUUCCCACCGGAGGGCACAGGACACCAUUCUCCAGCAGAUCUGUUCCAGGCAUCUCCUUCUCUCAAGGCAAAGAACAGUACCCCUGUGUCCAGAUACUGUCUCACUUUGUUCUCUGCUGGAACAUGAGGAGCUUCAUUGUCCUUCAAGUUGCCCAGAGUCUGUUUUGGAGCUAUGGACUGGAGAGUAUACAGUUCUCCAUGAAGUGAGUUGAUGUUUGCCUUUUGUUUUUUCAUAGAAUCAUAAAAUCAUUCAGGUUGGAAAUGAC
rnacentral:lncRNA from 1 species